AGCAACCUACCCUAAAGACGAGGAUAACCAUUGGAAACAGUGGCUAAGACUGGAUAGGAAGAUAAAAGGCAUCUUGUAUCUUUUAAAAGACCUAGUUAAUAGGUAUGCUUUAGGAGGGGCUUGCGCCAUAUUAGUUAGUUGGUAGGGUAAUGGCCUACCAAGACGAUGAUGUGUAGCUGGACUGAGAGGUUGAACAGCCACAUUGGGACUGAGACACGGCCCAAACUCCUACGGGAGGCAGCAGUAGGGAAUUUUCGGCAAUGGAGGAAACUCUGACCGAGCAACGCCGCGUGAAUGACGAAGUACUUCGGUAUGUAAAGUUCUUUUAUCGAGGAAGAAAAGCAAAUGGCGAACCAUUUGUUUGCCGGUACUUGAUGAAUAAGCCCCGGCUAAUUAUGUGCCAGCAGCCGCGGUAAGACAUAAGGGGCAAGUGUUAUCCGGAAUUAUUGGGCGUAAAGGGUGCGUAGGCGGUCUAGUAAGUCAGUGGUGUAAUGGCAACGCUUAACGUUGUCCGGCUAUUGAAACUGCUAAACUUGAGUUAGAUAGAGGCGAGUGGAAUUCCAUGUGUAGCGGUAAAAUGCGUAAAUAUAUGGAGGAACACCAGAGGCGUAGGCGGCUCGCUGGGUCUUAACUGACGCUGAGGCACGAAAGCGUGGGGAGCAAACAGGAUUAGAUACCCUGGUAGUCCACGCCGUAAACGAUGAGUACUAAGUGUCGGGUUAAACCGGUACUGAAGUUAACACAUUAAGUACUCCGCCUGAGUAGUACGUACGCAAGUAUGAAACUUAAAGGAAUUGACGGGACUCCGCACAAGCGGUGGAUCAUGUUGUUUAAUUCGAAGAUACCCGAAAAACCUUACCAGGUCUUGACAUGUUUUUGCAAAAUGAUAGUAAUAUCGUGGAGGUUACCAGAAACACAGGUGGUGCAUGGUUGUCGUCAGCUCGUGUCGUGAGAUGUUAGGUUAAGUCCUAAAACGAGCGAAACCCUUAUCGUUAGUUGCCAGCACGUUAUGGUGGGGACUUUAACGAGACUGCCAAUGAUAAAUUGGAGGAAGGUGAGGAUCACGUCAAAUCAGCAUGCCCCUUAUGACCUGGGCUACAAACGUGAUACAAUGGCUGUUACAAAGGGUAGCUGAAACGCAAGUUCUUGGCCAAUCCCCAAAAACAGUCCCAGUCCGGAUUGAAGUCUGCAACUCGACUUCAUGAAGUUGGAAUCGCUAGUAAUCGCGAAUCAGCAUGUCGCGGUGAAUACGUUCUCGGGGUUUGUACACACCGCCCGUCAAACCACGAAAGUUGGCAAUACCCCAAAACGGUAGC
rnacentral:rRNA from 1 species